AACUACAUGUUUCAGAACGUAACCUUGUGGUGGACAUUACACUAUGGAUGUUCUAUAUGCACAAACUGAUCUUAGAUUUGCAACUAGUUUGCUGCAAAGUGCUUUACCAGGGAAUGUGAAUGAGACUCGUAUAAAUGGUAAUGCAACGAUUGAAGAAAAUGAGAAUGCACGUUACUUUUGAAUGAAGAAGAGAAAUUGUUUUCGAAGAAACAUUCCCACAAGAAAUUCUGGGGAGAAGUGUUCAUUAUCAUCGUAUUAAGUAUGGCCGCAGCAUUUAUGAUAGAAAUUCAAAAGUCGUCUUCAAUAUUUUA